rnacentral:piRNA from 1 species
UUAGAGGGAGUUGAGUGCAUGGCCAG